GAGGGUGUAUCUCGGUGGUAGAGUGCUUGCCUGGCAUGAAGAAGUGCUUGGGUUUGAUUCCCAACACCAUAA
rnacentral:tRNA from 1 species